rnacentral:rRNA from 1 species
UAGGGAAUAUUGCAAAAUGGGCGAAAGCCCAAUGCAGCAACGCCGCGUGGGCGAUGAAGGCCUUCGGGUCGUAAAGCCCUUUUUGAGGGGAUGAGGAAGGACAGUACCCUCAGAAUAAGCCUCGGCUAACUACGUGCCAGCAGCCGCGGUAAAACGUAGGAGGCGAGCGUUAUCCGGAUUUACUGGGCGUAAAGCGCGUGCAGGCGGAUUGGAGAGUUGGAUGUGAAAGCUCCCGGCUUAACUGGGAGAGGUCGUUCAAUACUUCCAGUCUUGAGUGCAGUAGAGGGAAGUGGAAUUCCGGGUGUAGUGGUGAAAUGCGUAGAUAUCCGGAGGAACACCAGUGGCGAAAGCGGCUUCCUGGACUGUAACUGACGCUCAGACGCGAAAGCUAGGGUAGCAAACG